rnacentral:rRNA from 1 species
CACCAGCCGCGGUAAUACGGAGGGCGCGAGCGUUGUCCGGAUUCACUGGGCGUAAAGCGGGUGUAGGCGGUUGGGCAAGUCGGACGUGAAAGCCCGGGGCUCAACCCCGGGGGUGCCUCUGAAACUGGCGGGCUUGAGUGCUCUAGAGGGCAGUGGAAUUCCCGGUGUAGCAGUGAAAUGCGUAGAGAUCGGGAGGAACACCAGUGGCGAAGGCGGCUGCCUGGGGAGUCACUGACGCUGAGGCGCGAAAGCUAGGGGAGCAAACAGGAUUAGAUACCCUGGUAGUCCUAGCCGUAAACGAUGAGCGCUAUGUGUGAGGGGUAUCGACCCCCCUCGUGCAGUAGCUAACGCAUUAAGCGCUCCGCCUGGGGAGUACGGCCGCAAGGUUGAAACUUAAAGGAAUUGGCGGG